rnacentral:tRNA from 1 species
UUAAUAAUAGUGUAAAAAACACGAUAAAUUUUGAAUUUAUAAUUAAGUUUAAAACUUUUAUUAAU